rnacentral:misc_RNA from 1 species
CCAAAGAAUUAAAUAAAAUAAAUUAAAAUAUACUCUUUCUUUUUCACUUCCAGGAUACAAUUUAACCUGCCAAUUGAUUAAAAAGCAUUAAGCACACGUUAAUACCGAAGCCAAUAUCAAAGGACCAAUUGCAUGCUAAGAAUAAAAAACUAGGCCAUCAAGCACUUUCCCAUCUACGUAAGCAACAUAAAUUAGCAUUUGUAUACCUGAAAACUAAAAAUUCAAACAAUCAAAACCACAAUUCAAACCAAACUCUAGGUCUUUUUCAUAACCCAUAUAUCAAAAUUCAUGUCUUCAUAUUGUCAUUAUGAGAAAAUGGAACCCAGAUAACAAAACUCAUAAAAGCAUUGGAAAUUAAUCUUAGCUACCAUGACAAAACAGCCUUGCUACUAUCACGAAAAUCAUAAGAACAAGAGUGGGCAAAAUACACCCAUCAGCGAAGCCUCCUAGCUUCCCUUUCAGAUUCAAGGAGUGUAAGCACAUCUCCUUCUCUAACAGGUCCCUUAACAUUCCUCAUGAUGAAUCGAUUCUGGUCAUCAAGAAACUUGACUCUGACUUGAGUCACCUGACCCCUGGAUCCAGUCCUACCCAUUACUUUCACCACCACGGCAUGCUUAAUCUGUGAAUCCAUCCUGAGUAGAUAGGAGAAUGAGAGAGAGGAAGAGCAGCCGCUAAGAUUUCCGGUCGCAACAGUUGCAAGG